AUGCCAGCCUAUGCCCCCGUGCCGGGGGGUGGGCGCUGGCCCCUCGCCCUUGAGGAAACCCAUCACUGUCCUGGCUACACCCGCUGCUCAGCCCCGAUGCUGUCAGGGUCCCAGAGUCCCCUGAAACCUUCUCCUACCAGAGGCCCAAAGCCACCGGGUUCCCUGCAGGAGAUCCCGGGAAAGGGUGUGGCUGGAAACCAGGCAGCAGUGACCAGGGCAGCCGCACCCCCUUCUCUGCGCACCCCAUGCCCGCUCCCGAGGGCAGGGUGCCCAGUGGACAGUGGAGAGAGGGACAGGGGGACACCUCAGGGGCAGGGGGGCUGGGCCCAUGGGCUGGUCCCAGGAUGUCUAGGCCCUUGUCCCUGUCCGUGCCCCACUGCCCAGAAUACAGAAGGGUCCUUACCUUUGGCCCCUUCAGCAAACCCCAAGGGCACCUGCCCCAGGGUCCGUAUGGGAGGUUUCCUCAGGGGCAACCCCCCUGCCCCGCGGCACCCCCAGGCUCAGAUGGACAGAGAGGUGGGUAGCGAGUCUCUAGCCCGUCCAGCCCCCAGGCCUGCUGUGGGCCCUCUGGACCUGGGGCCGGCCGGGGGCUCCGGGGGUCCCUGGCAGUGGAGGCGGCUCCCCCUGGGGCCUAUUCCCUCCCAUCCUGCUGCUGGGCGCUGGGACGGAGAGACGGCGGGUCCCUCCCUCAUUACAAAGUGGGGGGAAGGCGGCGUCUCCCGAUGUGGAAUCUCCCCCGAAAGGCAGGUUUGCUGCCCAGGCCGAGGGAGACCCUCCCCUCCGCACCUGGGGCAGGUGUGCCAUAGGCCUCCUGGCGCGCAUCCGUGCAGAGCCGCCUGCGGGAGCAGAAGCCUGGGCCCUGGGGGGAGGGGUGGCGGAGCAGGCUGGAGACCGGGCGCCCCUGCGGUGCAUCAGAGGGUGGGCGGCCCCAGGGGGAGGAGGGGGAGGCCUGGCGCUCACGGCCUUGCUCAUCCGCACCCACAUUUGAAAUUCUUGAAACGAAUUAUCUGCAAGUUGCUUAUAUAA
rnacentral:lncRNA from 1 species